CUCUCUCUCUCAGUCUCUCUCUCUGUCUCUCUCACUCUCUCUCAUGCAUGGAAUUUUUAAAGGGCAGAACAGAGCACAGAGGGAGGACCGAAGGCGGAAACAUAACUCCACUGGGAUUCAGGAAUUUGUGCUGCACUGAAAAGUGCUCCUGAAGACAUUCCCAAGCAGUAAAAGCUGGAUUAGCCGUUAGCAUCUCUGAUACGUCAUCAACUCCAGUCCUGGAGAACCCACUGUCCUUCACAUAUCAGGGGAACAGGUUUGGGAACCUGUACACUAGAGAUACAUUAUAUGGCCAAAAGUAUGUGCACCCCUGACCAUCACACCCAUAUGUGGUUCUUCCACAAACUGUUACCACAGAACUGAAAGCACACAGUUGUAUCGAAUGUCUUUGUGUGCUGUAGCAUUACAACUUUCCUUCACUGGAACUUCAUAGGUCCAAACCUGUUCCAGCAUGACAGUGCACCUGUGCACAAAGCGAUCUCCAUGAAGACGCGGUGUGUGAAGGUUGGAAGAAGGUGGAAGAACUCGAGUGUCCCGUACAGAGUCCUGUCCUCAACCCCACUGAACACCUUUGGGAUGAACUGGAACUGAAGCCUCCUCACAUCAACAUCAGCGCCUGACCUCGACCUCACUGCCACAUUCGCUUCAAGUGUAUACUGAUUUUUACAUGUUCAGGUUCGUUACAGACGUCAGAAAUUUCUCUAUCUGUCAAUUUUUUUUAAUUGAGCCUAAGAGCUGGAAAUGCGUCAGGCAGUGCUUAAAUGUACAGUGGGACAAAAAUUACAUAAACCAAGAUGAGAAUGGUUUCUGCUUCAGUUAUGUUUAAAGCACUAUACACUUCUUAAAAUUAAUACAACAAUAGCCUAACAGCAAUGAUGAAUCAGACAGGAAUCAACAAUAUCACAAAUAUAUAUAUAUAUAUAUAUAUAAACAUGGAUGGGUUGGAAGAGUGCCAAUACUUUGUGCACAGCAACGGAUAGGUUACAGUCUUUGUCAGUAGUUGUGAUAUAGUUGUUAAGUGUAUCCUUUAAAAUGGCUGCUAAGUGUAUAUACACAGGAACCCGAUAUUUCUCCUCUCCUGCUGAUAGAGUUACACUAAACGUGUGUAAACCUCCAAAAUGUUUCAGUGAAUUUAGUUACAAAUUCAUGAUUCAGGAGUUUAAAUGAACGUGAGAUGAUCCAUUAAUGAAAUCCGAGCUCGGAUCUUAUUUCGGGUUCCUAUUACAACUGAAAAAUGUCACGUUACGUCAUCCCAUCUGAAAAAAAAACAAUAUAAACACUCAUAGAAUUUGUAAUGGUUCUAAUGUUCCUAAUGAGAAUUGUAUUGGUUUUAAUGGAAACUGUAAUGGUCUCUACUACUGGUAAUUUGUUGCCUUCUAAUGGUGGUAUGUUAUGUCUAAUGGAUACCAUUAAGGAUCAGUGAUGUAAUGGUAAUGUUUUUAAUGGUUAGCUCGUGGUUUGUGAUGGUAUUUGUCGUGGAAACCAUUAGAAUUUCUG